GGGGAUGUAGCUCAUAUGGUAGAGCGCUUGCUUUGCAUGUGAGAAAUACGUGGAUUGAUACCCCGCAUCUCUA
rnacentral:tRNA from 1 species